GAUGAACGCUGGCGGCGUGCUUAACACAUGCAAGUCGAACGGAAAGGCCCAAGCUUGCUUGGGUACUCGAGUGGCGAACGGGUGAGUAACACGUGGGUGAUCUGCCCUGCACUUCGGGAUAAGCCUGGGAAACUGGGUCUAAUACCGGAUAGGACCACUUCUUGGAUGUUGUGGUGGAGAGUUUUUUCGGUGUGGGGUGAGCUCGCGGCCUAUCAGCUUGUUGGUGGGGUAUUGGCCUACCAAGGCGUCGACGGGUAGCCGGCCUGAGAGGGGGUACGGCCACAUGGGGCCUGCGAGAGGGCCCAGUCGCGAAUGGGGGGCAGUGGGGGGAAACUUGACACAGUGGCCCCGAGCCUGUGACGACGGCCCCCGGGGGGGGAAGCCGGCUUGUGGGUUGAAAACACCUUUCGCUGGGGACAAAGCUUUUUUGAGGGGACCCAGGAAAAAAGGCCCGGCUAACCUAGGG
rnacentral:rRNA from 1 species